rnacentral:rRNA from 1 species
GACGUAGGGCGCAAGCGUUGUCCGGAUUUAUUGGGCGUAAAGAGCUCGUAGGCGGCUUGUUGCGUCGUCCGUGAAAACCCGCAGCUCAACUGCGGGCUUGCGGACGAUACGGGCAGGCUGGAGUUCGGUAGGGGAGACCGGAAUUCCUGGUGUAGCGGUGAAAUGCGCAGAUAUCAGGAGGAACACCGGUGGCGAAGGCGAGUCUCUGGGCCGAUACUGACGCUGAGGAGCGAAAGCGUGGGGAGCGAACAGG